UACGUAGGGUGCAAGCGUUGUCCGGAAUUAUUGGGCGUAAAGAGCUCGUAGGCGGUCUGUCACGUCGGCUGUGAAAGUCCGGGGCUCAACUCCGGAUCUGCGGUGGGUACGGGCAGACUAGAGUGAUGUAGGGGAGACUGGAAUUCCUGGUGUAGCAGUGGAAUGCGUAGAGAUCCGGAAGAACACCGGAGGCGAAGGCGGCUUGCUGGACCUGGUCUGACGCUGAGGCGCGAAAGCGUGGGGAGCGAACAGG
rnacentral:rRNA from 1 species